rnacentral:rRNA from 1 species
GACGAACGCUGGCGGCGUGCCUAACACAUGCAAGUCGAACGGAGAUAUCAAUGAAGCUUGCGAUUUGAUAUCUUAGUGGCGGACGGGUGAGUAACGCGUGGGUAAUCUGCCCAUAAGUGGGGAACAACAGUUGGAAACGACUGCUAAUACCGCAUACGCUACCGCAAGGUAGGAAAGGUGGCCUCUGAAUAUGCUGCCGCUUAUGGCUGAGCCCGCGUCUGAUUAGCUAGUUGGUGGGGUAACGGCCGAGCAAGGCGACGAUCAGUAGCCGGCCUGAGAGGGUGAACGGCCACACUGGGACUGAGACACGGCCCAGACUCCUACGGGAGGCAGCAGUGGGGAAUAUUGCGCAAUGGGGGAAACCCUGACGCAGCGACGCCGCGUGAGCGAUGAAGGCCUUAGGGUUGUAAAGCUCUGUUUUAAGGGACGAAUGUUACGGGGAGUAAUAUACCCUGUAAAUGACGGUACCUUAAGAGGAAGCCCCGGCUAACUACGUGCCAGCCGCCGCUGUAACAC